rnacentral:rRNA from 1 species
UACGUAGGGGGCGAGCGUUGUCCGGAUUUACUGGGCGUAAAGAGCGCGCAGGCGGUCGGUCAAGUCGCGUGUGAAAGCCCCCGGCUCAACUGGGGAGGGUCACGCGAUACUGAUCGACUCGAAGGCAGGAGAGGGUAGUGGAAUUCCCGGUGUAGUGGUGAAAUGCGUAGAUAUCGGGAGGAACACCAGUGGCGAAGGCGACUACCUGGCCUGUUCUUGACGCUGAGGCGCGAAAGCUAGGGGAGCAAACGGG